rfam:Aedes albopictus isolate Foshan contig93727, whole genome shotgun sequence.
UGUUAUGUGGCUUAGUUGGUUAAAGCGCUGGUCUAGCGAAUGCGAAGUCGUGGGUUUGAAUCCCUCCAGAACGC